rnacentral:lncRNA from 1 species
GAGAAGCUGAGGCGGCCCAUUUAUACAUUUACCCUACCAAGGCCUGGCUAAAGAUACCACAGGCAGGUUUGUAGAACAAUUUAUUUGGUGUAUCAAGAUGAAGCAUCACUCAAAGAACAAUCAAUUUGGUGUAUCAAGGUGAAGCAUCACAAGAGGAGUACGUGAAAACUAAUGUCAUGUCUCACAAUGCAAUCAAUUGAAGGUCUCUUAGAAAACUGAUGGUAGGAUGCCUCAAUUUGUGGAUGUGCCUUUCAUCAUUCCUGUCAAGAACUCAUUCAUCAAAGUAUCCAUUCUUGAUUCAUUUACUCCAAACUUCCUAGUACCACAAAUUACAUUAAACAUGCGAAAAAGUCCACAGUUUUAUGGCUCUGACAGCUCUUUUCUCCUUUAGGCUGUCUCUGCUUCUGUUAAGAUUGAGGAAGGUCUUUGCUUUCAUUCCAUUGUAAACAAUGCUAUUUGGCCAAAGAUGCUGAGAGCAGAAAGUGGAAUCUGUGAUAAAAGAUUUUAAUUUUAUUAAGGAAGAAGACAUCGAAUCCCAAAGAAACUAUUGAGAUUGGUUUAAUCUUCUGGGGCAGAAAGAUUUUGACACACAGU